AACGAACGCUGGCGGCAGGCUUAACACAUGCAAGUCGAGCGCCCCGCAAGGGGAGCGGCCGACGGGUGAGUAACGCGUGGGAACGUACCUUUUGGUUCGGAACAACUCCGGGAAACUGGAGCUAAUACCGGAUAAGCCCUAACGGGGAAAGAUUUAUCGCCGAAAGAUCGGCCCGCGUCUGAUUAGCUAGUUGGUGAGGUAACGGCUCACCAAGGCGACGAUCAGUAGCUGGUCUGAGAGGAUGAUCAGCCACACUGGGACUGAGACACGGCCCAGACUCCUACGGGAGGGAGCAGUGGGGAAUAUUGGACAAUGGGGGCAGGCCUGAUCCAGCCAUGCCGCGUGAGUGAUGAAGGCCUUAGGGUUGUAAAGCUCUUUUGUCCGGGAAGAUAAUGACUGUACCGGAAGAAUAAGCCCCGGCUAACUUCGUG
rnacentral:rRNA from 1 species